GACCAAACUCUUAUAAUUUAAGUUGGGGGGUCGUCUUAUACGCCCAGUCGCCUAAUGCGCCGGAACAUACGGUAUGUCCUGGUUUGUGACCCUUGUCAGUAACUGCCUGAACCAUCCUCAUCUGCUCUAAUCCAGGUUUAUGGUGCUGAAGGGGAAGCCAGGGGGUUGCUGUGGGUCUCCUAAUAGCUAAAUAAUAUCGUAGUAAUCUUGUACUCACAACAUAUUAGUAGUGUCAGAAAACAAGAGCCAGUAUUUUCAGAUGAUGGUGGGCAUCCUUGCACUGCUGCUGUUCCUAUUAUGCCUACUCCUAAUUUAUCACGGAAGAACACUAAGGGGACGCAGCCUCCUGUGACGCAGCGUGAGGCCCCGCCUCCUCCGUACUGGCACAGCACAUGUUCGUUGGCCACCUCACCCCGGAAAGUCCUUCCGAGCGUGGCGCUCGCCCACCUGCUGCUGCUGCUGCCAUUGUGGGAGCUGGAUCCGGCCUCCGCCGUGGCCGCGUGGAGCUUCGCUUGGCUCACGAGCACCAUGAAGAGCCUGUCAUGACGAGGUGGUGCGCGGCUUCGGCCGGGGCUACAAGGAGCUGGGCAUCCCCACAGGUUUACGGUGCUGAAGGGGAGCCAGGGGUUGCCGUCUCCUGUUCCAAAUCUCCAGCCUCUGUCCUGCCCUCUGGGGAUUAUUGGGCUACUGUUUUUGGGAUGUUCCUCGUCUCCUUAAAAAUAUAUAUAUAUAUAUAUCCUUCACUGAUACGAUGUAGCUGAUUUUUCACCUUUGUUGUUUCCAAGCUGUUUUAUUAUUGUAAGAGAGGUAGAAUAAGAAAUAUUGAAUGAACGGGUGAUUUUAUAAAGCAUUCAGAUUUCUUGCCAGAGCUUCGUCUUUUGUUAUGUUUUCUUCAAAUUCACAAAAGGUGUGAACAUGCUUUCCUGACAUUGACAUAAUGCUCAUUGGCUUCUCUGGAACUUAAGCACAUGUUUACAUGCUUUUGAGAUUCAAGACUUUGCUCUCGCAUCAGACCCACAAUAUAGUUCUAGGAGCUCAGUGUCCAGGCUGAACAAUGGGGGUGGGGAGCAUGGUUGCAGGAUUUUUUCUAUAGAAGAUACAUUGUCCCAAAAUUUGUGGUGGUGAUUUAGCUCUCAUAGUGCAUCAAAUGUUAUUUGAUCCCAUUUCCCCAAACUACCUACGUUUCCUUUUGUAGCAUCAGUUAUGUAAUUCCUACUGGCAUGGGAGGAAGGGGAGUGGGUGAAUUCACGACUUGAGGCAGCCAAUACUUAGCCAAUGGCUGAUUUUAGUUUCUUUCUUUCUGUAAAUAAUGUAUAAAUGAUGACACAGCAGUGUGGAAAUUUUAAAAAGUUGGGUUUUUAAAGAUUUUUUUAUUAUUACCUCAUUCAGCAAAUUUGUUUUACAAUGACUCCAUGAAACUUUAUUUAUAUUGUUUGUAUGAUUAUUAAACAUAUUGAUACAUUUCACUUUGCUUGUUGUUUCAUAUGAUCUUGUUCGAUUAAAUAUCAAUUUGUAUUAUGUUUCCCUCUCGCUUUCUCCAUCCCUUUUUAGUGUGUCAGCUGUACAGUAUUCUGAAUUUUAAAAAUGUUGUAAAGUAAUGCAAAGAGAGAGACUGCUACAUUGGAUAUGUCUCUUUCUAAUAAAUAUAAGAAAAUACCCUU